UGGCUAUAUUACAUUGAAACACCGCUUCCCGCAAGAUCACCAAAGGUAAGCAACGUCGAGCCUGGUCAGUACUUGUAUGAGUGACCCCUUGGGAAUACUAGUUACCGUAAG